rnacentral:rRNA from 1 species
AGAGUUUGAUCCUGGCUCAGGACGAACGCUGGCGGCGUGCCUAAUACAUGCAAGUCGAACGAACUCUGGUAUUGAUUGGUGCUUGCAUCAUGAUUUACAUUUGAGUGAGUGGCGAACUGGUGAGUAACACGUGGGAAACCUGCCCAGAAGCGGGGGAUAACACCUGGAAACAGAUGCUAAUACCGCAUAACAACUUGGACCGCAUGGUCCGAGCUUGAAAGAUGGCUUCAGCUAUCACUUUUGGAUGGUCCCGCGGCGUAUUAGCUAGAUGGUGGGGUAACGGCUCACCAUGGCAAUGAUACGUAGCCGACCUGAGAGGGUAAUCGGCCACAUUGGGACUGAGACACGGCCCAAACUCCUACGGGAGGCAGCAGUAGGGAAUCUUCCACAAUGGACGAAAGUCUGAUGGAGCAACGCCGCGUGAGUGAAGAAGGGUUUCGGCUCGUAAAACUCUGUUGUUAAAGAAGAACAUAUCUGAGAGUAACUGUUCAGGUAUUGACGGUAUUUAACCAGAAAGCCACGGCUAACUACGUGCCAGCAGCCGCGGUAAUACGUAGGUGGCAAGCGUUGUCCGGAUUUAUUGGGCGUAAAGCGAGCGCAGGCGGUUUUUUAAGUCUGAUGUGAAAGCCUUCGGCUCAACCGAAGAAGUGCAUCGGAAACUGGGAAACUUGAGUGCAGAAGAGGACAGUGGAACUCCAUGUGUAGCGGUGAAAUGCGUAGAUAUAUGGAAGAACACCAGUGGCGAAGGCGGCUGUCUGGUCUGUAACUGACGCUGAGGCUCGAAAGUAUGGGUAGCAAACAGGAUUAGAUACCCUGGUAGUCCAUACCGUAAACGAUGAAUGCUAAGUGUUGGAGGGUUUCCGCCCUUCAGUGCUGCAGCUAACGCAUUAAGCAUUCCGCCUGGGGAGUACGGCCGCAAGGCUGAAACUCAAAGGAAUUGACGGGGGCCCGCACAAGCGGUGGAGCAUGUGGUUUAAUUCGAAGCUACGCGAAGAACCUUACCAGGUCUUGACAUACUAUGCAAAUCUAAGAGAUUAGACGUUCCCUUCGGGGACAUGGAUACAGGUGGUGCAUGGUUGUCGUCAGCUCGUGUCGUGAGAUGUUGGGUUAAGUCCCGCAACGAGCGCAACCCUUAUUAUCAGUUGCCAGCAUUAAGUUGGGCACUCUGGUGAGACUGCCGGUGACAAACCGGAGGAAGGUGGGGAUGACGUCAAAUCAUCAUGCCCCUUAUGACCUGGGCUACACACGUGCUACAAUGGAUGGUACAACGAGUUGCGAACUCGCGAGAGUAAGCUAAUCUCUUAAAGCCAUUCUCAGUUCGGAUUGUAGGCUGCAACUCGCCUACAUGAAGUCGGAAUCGCUAGUAAUCGCGGAUCAGCAUGCCGCGGUGAAUACGUUCCCGGGCCUUGUACACACCGCCCGUCACACCAUGAGAGUUUGUAACACCCAAAGUCGGUGGGGUAACCUUUUAGGAACCAGCCGCCUAAGGUGGGACAGAUGAUUAGGGUGAAGUCGUAACAAGGUAGCCGUAGGAGAACCUGCGGCUG